rnacentral:rRNA from 1 species
UUGACCUCAAAUCGAGUAGGACUACCCGCUGAAGCUUAGAGCAUAUCAAUAAGCGG